rnacentral:rRNA from 1 species
UACGUAGGGUGCGAGCGUUAAUCGGAAUUACUGGGCGUAAAGCGUGCGCAGGCGGUUAUGCAAGACAGAUGUGAAAUCCCCGGGCUUAACCUGGGAACUGCAUUUGUGACUGGCAAGCUAGAGUAUGGCAGAGGGGGGUAGAAUUCCACGUGUAGCAGUGAAAUGCGUAGAGAUGUGGAGGAAUACCGAUGGCGAAGGCAGCCCCCUGGGCCAAUACUGACGCUCAUGCACGAAAGCGUGGGGAGCAAACAGG